UUGGAGGGCAAGUCUGGUGCCAGCAGCCGCGGUAAUUCCAGCUCCAAUAGCGUAUAUUAAAGUUGUUGCAGUUAAAAAGCUCGUAGUUGAAUUUCGGGGUUCUACCGUUGGUCGGGCAAUAGUCUGUACUGGCGUGUAGAAUUUCUACCUUCUGGGGAACUAUCAUGUUAUUUAUUUAGCGUGGUAGGAAACCAGGACCUUUACCUUGAAAAAAUUAGAGUGUUCAAAGCAGGCUUACGUCUGAAUACAUUAGCAUGGAAUAAUAAAAUAGGACGGUGGUCCUGUUUUGUUGGUUUCUGAAUCACCGUAAUGAUUAAUAGGGAUAGUUGGGGGCAUUAGUAUUCAAUUGUCAGAGGUGAAAUUCUUGGAUUUAUUGAAGACUAACUUCUGCGAAAGCAUUUGCCAAGGAUGUUUUCAUUAAUCAAGAACGAAAGUUAGGGGACGUAGACGAGACUAGAUACGUACCGUAGUCGUUAACCUUAACCUAAACUUAAACCGUACCGACCGUAACGGGUAAGGUACGGUACCGGAACGUAGUUAAGUUUUUUAACUUUUUUGUUACG
rnacentral:rRNA from 1 species